UGGCAUUGCUAACUUCUUGGGCUGUCAGGU
rnacentral:piRNA from 1 species